GAAGGCCUAGCUCAGUGGUAGAGCAUGUGCUUAGCAUGUACAAGGUCCUGGGUUCAAACCCCAGUACCUUCA
rnacentral:tRNA from 1 species